rnacentral:lncRNA from 1 species
AUAAAGAAUGUUAAAAAGUAAUAAGCUUGUGGAUUAAACAACCAGUGAUCUUUUGGUGCUGUUUCUCUUCUUUUAAACCAAACUCUACCGGAGUGACUAACCCUUUGUAUGAAGUUCUUCUGUCAAGGAAUUUCUGUUGUGUCUUUUGCUUCCUACUUAUUUUUGUAGAGCACAUUUAUUGAUUUUUUUAUGUUAUGGGCUGGCUUUGAUUUUAAUGUGUAAAUAUGUGCCCAAUUUCAAAGUUAAUGAAACAGACUUGUCCGUGCUGUGGAAUUCUCAGGUGUAGAGCAUAAUUGUAUAGUAUCUAAAUCGGCCCAAUCUACUUAACAUUUUUGAAGUACAAAUUUGCUCAAAGCCAAUCGGGUCGGGUUUUUAGUUAGAUUUUAACCCGGAUUUUUUUUUGACCCGACUCAUUGGCCAAUCACAUCUCUCGGAUCUUUUUAAAUAAGACUUUCCAAAAAAAAAUCAAAUAAUUUGACUAAAUAUUCGCUUAGUUACAUUCCUAAUCUACCAAAUCCUAACAGUAUGUAAAUGAUCCGCAUUAAUCGUUACAAUUAGAUCCUUCCUUAUUUGAAACUUUCCUACAUAAAAUCAAAAGCCAAUCGGAUCUUGCUAAUCCUACCAAAAAACAAAUUAAAACGACAUUAGUUAUUUGAUUAUGGGUCGCAAUCAAUAAUACAGAUUCUGAUAAUAUAACAGAUAUGUUAAUCACAACCUAUUUAAUUGCUAAAUAUAUUCGGCAAAUAUCUUUUGUUUCCUAAUAAAAUUGAACAAUAUAACAUCUACAUUCAAUAGCAACAAGAACAAUUGGAAAUUUUGCAUAAAUAAACGAUUUUACUCUUAUUUUCUAUAGCAUCUAUGUGGUAUAUUAUAUAACUUUUCGAUUUUAAAGAUUUUUAAUAGCAUAUUUCCAUUUACAGCUAGAAUUAAUAUUCGUAGAUAUCUUAAUUUCAUUGAUUUUUGGAACUAAUUCCAUAACAACCUUAAUUAUUAUUUAUUUAGUUUUCUAAUUCUAGGCAAUUUAUAAUUAACUCAAGAGAUUUUGCUUGCUCAAAAAGAUUUUGCGCAAAUGUAUCAUACCUAAACCUAAUCGUAUAUGUCCUCUAUAUAUAUCCAUUUCAUUUCCAAGAGAAAACAUCACUUCUAAACAAAGUUAAAUUUUUUUUCCAAAACACCUUCAAUUCUUUUCAUCCUAAAGUUACCUCUUUUUCAUUUUCCAUUCGUAUGGUUCUUCGUGACAUGAACAAAGAUUUGACUGGCGAUUCUGUCUUAGAAUCCUUAUAAUCUGAAAGCAAAAAGGAAUUCAGAGAGAUACUACAUAAUUAGUUUUAGCGGAUGAAAGGUGGUUCAAUCGAUUUCUAUCUAACUCUUUUACUAUCAUUCUUUUUCUACCAUUUCUCAAAAAAAAUUGACAUCUUGGUUUUGUUUUUCUGAUUUGUUUCUUCUCUAUUUGUAUCUUUGAAUUGUUAGGUUGAUAGGAUUGCAACAACCUAUAAACAACGCUAAACCAAUGAUAACUCCCUCAAGUUUUCAAUCAGCAAAACAAAUGGACUCAUCAACCUAUGUCAAUCAUCAAAACAAACAUCAGGACCAAUCAAACUAAACACAUGAAGCAUCAAGUAAGCCUAUCUGGAGAGGGCAAGCACGUAAAUAAUUCUCAUCGACAUAUUAAAUAACCAAUAUGAACUAUCACAUCACGAAAAGCUUUAUAGAUAUUUCCUAUUGACAAAGUUAAUGAAUAUCACCAAGACACCAACGAUCAACAACCAUUUCUUAAUAUAUCACAAAAAUGAAAUCAAUAAAAUCAGAGUCAAUGACUAACCAAAUCAUUCCAAAUUUCCCCUACUAUGCAUUCGACCCAUGACUGCAACGGAGAAGUGAUGUUCCUCUCACUGAGAUCGUUCUUCCUCGGUUGGUUUCUCCCGGCUGCGACUCCGCUUAAGAGUAUAAAAAAACUGAAUAUUAGUAAUCAGAAGCAUUAUUCCCGAUUCAUUUCCACAACGAUUACAAAAACCUAAAUGAGAUUUUUUUUUUUGACCAAGCAAAUUUGUAGAUUAGAAAUCAGAAGCAUUAUUUCCGAUUACAUUGAUUGACGUAUUAUACAAAUAUAUUUCCAGUUCUAACUGUUAUUCACAAUCAAUUUACGCUAUUGAUGAAAUUAAUUCGAUUAUUACUAAGCAAUAACUAUGAAAUUGUCUUACCUUUGAAUCGAGACAAAAUGAACAUUUAGAUCGGAUAGGUUGUUUUCUGGUCUUCAUGGGAUAAAUUGGAUCUUCGUUCUCGCCUAGAUUGUCUUCAAUUGAAUUGUUCUUCAUCAUUUUGCAAUCACAUCUUCGAAUCAAAACCUCAGCGUGUAGUUGGAGUCGAACUAAGAUCUCGGGAAAUUUGGGUUUGGAUCUGGAGUUGUUGAACAGGUUCUUCGCUAAUUUUCAAUGCACAUGUCUAAUCGAACAAGAAAAUUGCAGAUUCUUGAAGGUUUUCAAAAGAGAUUGAAAAAGACAGAAGAAGAUGAAAGAGAUUUGUUCGGUUCUUUGUUUUCAUUGUUUUCUCAGGUAAAAAAAAAUAUUAUCUAUACCCUUUAUUCGAUAUAAUUAAUUGAAAAAUAUAGAAAUUUAAUUUGUCUAAGUAUUUUUUUUAUCCUUUCUAUUUAUUUAUUUUGUUACACUUAAGGACAUACAUAUAAAUUAAAUAAAUAAGUAAAUUUCCUACAAAAAAUUACAUUUACCACAUUUAUUUUCUUUUGUCCAAUAAACCAGUUUAUAUCAAGUGUGAAAUAUUAAUUUAAAUAAUUAAUUGAGCUAUUAUAUAGGAAACAAAAAAAAAUUCCUAACCAACCAAUAAUAAACUAUAUAAAUAAAAGAAUAUUAUUUUAAACUGAUAAAUAAUACAUAUGUAAAUUUAUACCCGCGGUACAUUGUGACUUAAAUAAAAUAUGUGUGUUUUAUAUCUAAUUGUUUAUAAAUGAAACCUUCAACAUACUUACCGUAACCUAUAAAUAUAAAUCUUUUUAAAUAAAAGUAUUAUUGAAAAGAAAAAUAAUAAAAUAAUGUUUAAUUUUAUGCGACGGGUUAUACGGUAUGACAGGUUUAGUUCGAUUAAUUCGGAACGGUAUACCACGGGUAAAAAUCCUAAAAUUAACAAUCAAAAUACAAUUAUACAAUUUUAAACACAAAACAAAACAAAUACAACUUAAAUUUAAAAAUUGAAGUUAAAAAAAAAAUCAAACCGCGGUAUACAACAAAAAAUAUUAUACACAAUAAAUUCAUCAAUUUAUAAAAGAAAAAUCAAAUAAUUAACCCGCGGUAUACCGCGGGUCAUAUCCUAGUCGAUCGACCAAUUAUAACUGGAUACAGAGAGUAAAUAUCACCCUGAAAAAAAGAAAGAACGAAUAAAUACAGGAUACAGUAGAGGAUAUGACGUUAGCUAAUUCGAGUCCAAGUGGGAUUAGGAUUAUGAUUUUGAAUAUCCAUGUUUAUAUAUAUAUAUAUAUAUAUAUAUAUAUAAACCGUUCUCUGGAAGUAAAAAUCCUCUCUUCAUCAGAGAAAAAUAAACCAAAAGCCUACCUACGUACACGCCUCUUUUGCUAGAAGCCUAGAACGACGACGAUGCCUAAAAGAAAGAGACUCAUUGAUCACAUUAUCAGUACGACGACUAAACGAGCUUGGUAGAAAUACCCCAAGAGCAGAAAUCUCGAGACCCAAGUAUCCUGGUUUGCUAUCCUCGUCUUGAAGACGACACAAAAGCUUCUCUUAUGACAUUGAGUUUGGGAGCAGCGUCAGUUUCGUUUGAGAACCAUACUCAAUACCCUGUCCAAUCAACGACUAUACUAACCCGUUUAAGAAAUACACAGAGUUGCGACGGUCUGACUUGCAUAUAUUCAGAAACCUUUAUGUAUGUGCUCGAUCCCGCAACUAGAUGGUACCGUAGACUACCCGAGGCGAGAUUUCAAGCACUGUAUUGUGAUACAACGAACCGGGUUUCAGAGCCUUUGCUAGGAUUCGGUAAAGACAACAUCAAAGGAAUAUACAAGUUGGUUUGGUUGUAUAACUCUGAUUGUGUAGACCUAGACGGCCAAACUAAUACAUGCGAGGUUUUCUCUUUCAACAACAACAAAGGUAGGACGUGAUUGUUUCCUCUCCUCAUCCAAUACUACAUCAUAAAGUCCCGGCUGAUCCCUCCAUUGGUUUAUUGAUGCCGUCACAGAAACACAAGUUUUAUCUUUCGAUCUUCACACUGAAACUUUUAAGGUAAUGGCCAACAUACCGGUUGGCGAUGCACCUCAUGAGCGGAUCGCGAUGUGCACCUUAAAUGACCGCCUAUGCUUAUCGGAAGAUAAGGGAGACACACAAACUAUAUGGUCGUUAAAUCAAGCCAAUAUGACAUGGCACAAAACUUACUCCGUGCAACUCUCUCUUGUAUUGAAGAGGAAUAUCUUAACUCAUGGCCACCGAUCACAUCCCUUUUCAACAACAGGUUAUUGCUUUAUGAUUGCAGCGACGACGAGCCCAAGAUGGUGGUAUACAAUUAUCGAUUAAAUUCAUAUGGUGAAAUUUUCACCGCUCAAUAUUUGAUAUGUGGCAUUUCUUAUUCUGAAAGCUUAAUCACUCUUCCAUAAACUCUUUUAACUUUAAUUUUUAUUUUUAUUUUAGCAUAUAGCAGUUUAAUUAUUGUCUAGUAAAUUUCAUUGGUAUGUUGACAGCAAAUCCUCUUUUUAUAUAUACUUUAAUUUUUUCUUCACAGAACUCCAUUAUUUAGAAGGCAUACCUCUUUGCACUUUUUUUUUUUCUUUUUUUAUGCAAUUUCCAUCUCUUGGUUUAGUUCAAAUCUCAUCCUGAUUCUUAUGAAGGAUACGUUCAUAUGGACUUCUUUGCUCUCGUCUACAAUAGUAACUAGGAAGCGAAGCUUUGACCUCACAGAAUUCAAUAUUUCAGUCAGCGUGUUUUGCAACUACCUAGUUAUAUCGUGAAUUAUAAGAACAUCUUCAAACUUAAAAUAAUUUCUGUUAAUAAAUAAAGAGUUAUGAAAAUAUUGAAUAGUUUUGGCAGCCAUGAGGACUUCAAAAAGAAUAAAAUAAUGAAAAUAUCAAACUUACACUUAAAAUAAUCACAUCUACAGUUUUCAGAGAUUUGCUCUGAGGACUUCAAAAAGAAUAGAAGACAUCUCUAAACUUCGUUUGUGUCUUAAUCUUUAGCACAAGAAUAUAAUGUGUAUCUAUUGAAUUAUGAACUAAGGACCAAAACCUAAUGAUCAAGACUUUGUGUUUAUAAGAACAACUCUUCUUAUUACCUUUGAAACUUACUCAAAACAAAGGUUACACAAUCUCUCUUAAUCUCAAAACAACUCAUAGGGUUACCACAAACUAGGUACCUCUAUUUAUACAAAACCAAAAGUCCUAAACACACUAGGAUUUGAUAACUCCUAACCUAGCUAAAUCUUAUCCCAAAUCUAUUAACUAAACCGACUUAUUUAGUUUAAUCUUGGGCCUUAAGUCUUCUUAAGGUUAAUCAAGUUUGCACAACAUUCUCCCCUUCAAACUUGAUAUCUCCAAUCUUCACAUCAUGAACACCUGUAAGCUCCCUCAUUUCUUUGAACUUAAUCCGUCCCAAUGCCUUAGUUAAAAUGUCUGCCUUCUGUGCAUCCCCGGGAACAUGUUCUAGCUCAAUUUGAUCAUUCUCAACACAUUCCCUAAUAAAAUGAUACCUUUUAUGAAUAUGUUUACUUCUGCCGUGAAACACAGGAUUCUUAGCAAGUGCUAUAGCGGAUUUGUUAUCUAUCCGGAGUAAUACUUUGUCACAUGUUUCUCCCAUAACCUCACUCAGAAGAUCCUGCAACCAUAUCGCCUGUUUUGCUGCUUCUGUUGCAGCCAUGAACUCUGCUUCGCAAGAUGAUAAGGCUACUGUGUUCUGUUUCUGCGUACACCAUGUAAUGGGACAGUUAUGUAGAUAGAAAAUGUGACCUGUAGUGCUUCUACCAUCGUCCUCAUCUACAUUAUGACUGCUAUCACUAUAGCCUAGGAGUCUUGUUUCAGGUUUAGGUUCUGUCUUUCUAGCAAAUGUUAAACCAUAACCUGUUGUUCCUUUCAAAUAUCUGAGAAUUUGCUUGAGUGCUGUACCAUGAGAUUCUUUGGGCUCAUGCAUGUAUCUGCUUAAUACACCAACACAAAAAGAGAGAUCUGGCCUAGUAUGUAGCAAGUAUCUCAAACAUCCAAUACUUCUCCUAUACUCUGUUUCAUCAAUAUUUUUUUCUUCUGAUGCCUUGCUUAGUUUCAGAUUUGCAUUCAUUGGUGAGUGAACCGCAUUACAUCCUUCCAUUCUGGUUUCACUUAGUAUCUUAGAUGCAUACCUCUCUUGUUUCAGAGUAAUGCCUCCUGCAUGUUGAUGUACCUCUAUACCUAGAUAAUAAGUCAAUUUUCCCAAAUCGCUCAUUUCAAACUUUGUUGCCAUGCCCCUUUUAAACUCAAGUAUCACAUCCAAGUUUGAACCCGUGAUUAACAGAUCAUCUACAUACACAACAACAAUGAGAAGAUGAUCUUUAUCCUGUUUAUGGUAUAAGGAUGGUUCUUUAGAACAUUUGAUAAACUUCAAUUCCUUAAGAAUAGAGUUUAGUUUAUUGUUCCAAGCUCUUGGAGCUUGUUUUAAACCAUAUAGAGCCUUAUGUAAUUUGUAAACCUUGGUUUCACUCCCUUUUAUCUCAAAUCCCUCUGGCUGUACAACAAACACAACUUCUUUCAACUCUCCAUGGAGAAAUGCAGUCUUUACAUCUAAGUGAUGAACCUCCCAUCCAUUUGACGCAGCUAAAGCAAGGAUAAACCUAAUAGUCUCAAUGCGUGCUACUGGUGCAAACACUUCUUCAAAGUCAACUCCAUACCUUUGAACAUAUCCUUUGGCCACAAGGCGUGCCUUGUAUUUGUUUAUGCUUCCAUCAGAGUUGCGUUUUAUUUUAAAAACCCAUUUUAGACCAAUUGCUUUUGCUCCCUUUGGAAGAUCUACUAGACUCCAAGUUUUGUUCUUGUUUAUUGAACUGAUUUCCUCAUCACAAGCAUCUCUCCAUUCUUUUAACUCCUUUGCUUCUUUAUAGUCCCAUGGUUCUUCAUUUAAUGUUAGCAAGAGAUGCUCAAUUAUUUCAUAUUCAGCUUCAGCUAAGAGUACAUAGUCAUUUAGAUACCCUGGUUUAUGGCUCUGUCUCUCAGAUCGUCUUAGGACUGGUUGCAUUGGGGCCUGUUCUUGGUUUUCAAUUUCUUCUAAAGAUGUUUCAGAAGUAUUUUCAGAGAAAUCAUUCUCAUUAUCUAAGGCUUCAUUAGUAUUUUCAUUUUCUUCUACUCCUGUUUCUUCUGUUCUGUUUUCUGUUUCUGAAGCUUCUUCUCUUAGACCAUGAUUUCCGUAUUCUCCAAGUCUGAGUUUGAACAUUCCAGGAACAUUAUCACUCUCAUCUUUUCCUGAAUGAUUCCAAUUCCAACUUCUUUUCUCAUCAAAGACUACGUCUCUACUUACCACAAUUCUUCUUUUUGAUGGAUCCAACAAUCUAUAUGCUUUGGAUCCAGGUUCUGUUCCAAGAUGGACUAAGGCUUUUGAUCGGUCAUCAAGUUUCUUCAAGUGCUGUGUUUCAAUCUUUGCAUAACAAAUACAUCCGAAUACUUUCAAAUGUAUGAUGUUUGGUUUCUUUCCUUUAAAUGCUUCAUAUGGAGUCUUAUCUUUUAAAGUUCUUGUUGCCACUCUGUUUAUGAGGUAAGUAGCAUGUCUCACUGCCUCUCCCCAUAGAUGAUUUGGCAUUUUCAUAUGCUUUAGAAUGCUCCUAGUCAUCUCAAGUAAAGUUCUAUUCCUUCUUUCUACUACACCAUUCUGUUGUGGUGAGUAUGGAGCUGUUAAAUGUCUCUGAAUACCUGAAUUAUCACAGAAACUUUGAAAUUCAUGAGAGGUAAAUUCUCCACCUCUAUCUGUUCUGAAGGUCUUUAUUCUUGUUCCAGUGUCCUGCUCGAUUAGACCUUUGAAUUUUUUAAACUUUUCAAAUGCUUCACUUUUCUCCUUCAGAAGCAAUGACCACAUAUAUCUGGAGUAAUCAUCUAUUAGCACAAAGAUAUACUUGUUUUGUGCGGCUGUGGAGGGUGUAAUUGGUCCACACAAGUCUCCAUGUAUGAGUUCCAAUAUGUGUGAAGCUCUGUAUGAUGUAGCCUGAGGAAAACUUUGUCUUACUUGUUUUCCUAGUAAGCAUGAAGAACAUGUUUCUUUUUCAACUGUUAUACUAGGUAAACCAAUGACUAACUCUUUACUUAUCAUAGACUUUAUAGUAUCUAACCCUAUGUGUCCUAAUCUUGCAUGCCAUUUUGCUGAGUCACUAACUUCUUCUAUUUGUAAACAUUUUGUUGGUUUAACUUUCAUAAGAACCUUGUACAGUCUGUUCUUUGAUCUCUUAGCAUUUACAAGUAGUCUGCCUUGUUGGUCAUUUAUUGUUAGUUGCUCAUCUUUCAUCCUAAUAUCACAGCCUGCUUCUGUGGCCUGUCCGAGACUUAUGAUACUGCUUCUUAGAUUAGGUAUAUAGUACACAUCUGCAAGUACUUUUCUUUCACCAUCCUUGCUUACAAAGAGAAUUGAUCCUUUUCCUUUAAUAUCUAUGCAUGAAUCAUCUCCAAAUCUCACUUUUCCUGUGAUUGUUUCAUCAAGUUUAGAGAAAUACUCUUUGUUUCCUGUCAUGUGGUUGCUUGCACCAUUAUCUAAGUACCAGGUAUUGUCACCAUCCUUCUGAAUCUCAAAUUUGUCUGGCUUUACAUUUUUUUCGUUUAAGUAGACUAUUUCAUGCAUCAUUAGUCUAUCAGCUUCUUGAGUUUCGUCUUCAUCAUUCUCCAGUGUUUCUUGGAGUUUUAGUAGUCUAUCAGGACAGUUUGAAGCAUAGUGUCCAUUCUUAUCACAUCUGUAACAUAUGACUUUAGUUUUAUCUUUUCCUUGUCUAACAGAACCAUUCUGUUGAGUACCAAAUCGUCCUCUGCCUCUGCCUCUGAAACUAGAUCCUCGGCCUCUUCCUGAACCAUAGUUUUCUUGAUAGGUUUGUGAUUCUGAGUUAGCAUACAUGAGCUUUCCUUGAUCAUCAUGUUGAUCUUCUUCAUCACAUACUCUGUCUUCAUAUACUUUUAGUCUUCCGACUAUUUCUUCAAAACUUGUUGUCUUUAAAUCGAGUACUUGUUCAAGAGAAGCAACUAUGUGAAUGUAUUUCUUACGAGGUACACUUUUAAGAAAUUUCUUGACAAGUUUUGGUUCCUCAAUGUUUUCCCCUAAUGUAACUGCUUUUGUUGAUAUUUCAGAAAGUUUUCCUGCAAAUUCUUCUAUUGUCUCUGUUUCUUUCAUCUUUAGUUUAUCGAAUUCAGCCAUUAGAGUUUGUAAUCUUGCUUCUUUUACCCUUUCAGCACCUAGGUUUCUUGUUUUGAUCGCAUUCCAGACUUCUUUUGCAGUUUCAUAAUCUCCCACUCGAAGAAUCAUUGCUUCUGGUAUAGAUUGAAACAAGAGAACCUUAGCUAAAUCAUUCUUUUCUACAUCGUCGUUUCCUGGUUCUAUUGUAUCCCAAACUUUAUGAACCCUAAGUACUCCUCUCAUUCGCAUGUUCCAUGCAGUGUAGUUUGAUGUGCUAAGCAUCGGGCACUGUAUAGAAGAACUAGUCUCCUUGUUCCUAGCUGGAACCGGGAUUAUAUCAGCCAUGCUUCACCUUUAACGAACUCUGUUCGUAGCGUAUAAAGCUUUCUUUUAGAUCCUAGGUUACUCAAUCCAAGAGUAUGGCUCUGAUACCAAAUAUUGAAUUAUGAACUAAGGACCAAAACCUAAUGAUCAAGACUUUGUGUUUAUAAGAACAACUCUUCUUAUUACCUUUGAAACUUACUCAAAACAAAGGUUACACAAUCUCUCUUAAUCUCAAAACAACUCAUAGGGUUACCACAAACUAGGUACCUCUAUUUAUACAAAACCAAAAGUCCUAAACACACUAGGAUUUGAUAACUCCUAACCUAGCUAAAUCUUAUCCCAAAUCUAUUAACUAAACCGACUUAUUUAGUUUAAUCUUGGGCCUUAAGUCUUCUUAAGGUUAAUCAAGUUUGCACAACAGUAUCAUUUUGCUUUCUCUUUCGUGUUGCACGACCGUAUUAAAUUGUGGAUUUUUUAUUGUGCCCGAAUAGCGUGGAUGUGUUUGGUGUAGAGCAUAAAUUUCUAAAAUUACAUCUAAACUUGCGCAAUAAAUUUAUAAAUUACCAGUUGCGAUGAUGAGACUAUAAGACAAAUGCUAAUUGCUUGGGUAAGCAAACCGAAUCAAACCAAAUUGAAUUCAUCGAUAUGAUUCAUAUCAUAUUAUCGGAAUCAUAUGAACCAUAAUUUGAAUGGUAUCAUUUUUUAUGCUUAGAAAUUAUCUGAACCAAACCCAAGUUAUAUAAAACCGAUAAACAAGAUUUGAACAUCAUAUUCAUUUGAGAAACAAAUAUUCUUUACCAUUUGCAUUAUAGAUAUAAAUAUCUCCCUAAAAGAAAAAAAAAAGAAAGAAGAAAGAAACGUGUAACAACAAUAUUCUAAACGAAAGAAGAAGAAAAAGUGAAAAAGGAAAUGAAAAGGAUAUAAUGCUAUUGGCUUUGUGAAACUAAAGACAAUGACUAAGCAUAGUCAUUUAGUUAGGCAUUUACGACCGUCGAAGAAGAAGACAUCAAAUCAAACAUGGUCCCUUAAAAUAAUAAGAGGCCCAAAAUCACAUCUACAAUUUUUAUGGUGAUGAAAAUCGAUUUACGCCAAAUUUAGCUGGUUGUUGAAAGGUGUUUGAUAUUUUGGAGUUUAAAUGAGGAUGGAAUCUUUGCCCAUCAAGACGUUUCUUUAAGCAAGAAGAGCCGUGGGUUUGAAGAUAUAAAUCAAUUGUUUAAAGAGAAAAUUGUUUAGUGUUAAAAAAAAAAAAAAAAAAAAAUUGUUUUUUUAAAAAAAAAUAAAAAUAAAAACCAUUAUUAUGAGAAUAUUGUGCCAAUGACAUCUCUAGAAAAAGAGACAUUUUUCUCUCUCACACUUUAAGGAUACAACAACAAUCUCAAUUUCGUUCCUUCAAAAAAAAAAAAUUUCGUUUUGUUUUUUUUUUUUCUUUCGAAAGCAAACAUUUUUGCGAAUCAAUAUAAACUAAAAAUAACAAAACAAUAAAUAGCAGAGUGACGAUUCUUUCUCUCUGCCUCCUUCUCGAUUUUUGAUUCGCUCACCGGCGGAGCAAUCAGAUAUGGCGGCGGCGACGACGACGGAAUCGAGGAACCAGAUUCCGCCGUACAUGAAAGCAGUCUCAGGUUCACUAGGCGGAGUCGUCGAGGCUUGUUGUCUCCAACCAAUCGACGUAAUCAAAACGCGUCUGCAGCUAGAUCGCGUCGGCGCUUACAAAGGAAUCGCGCACUGUGGUUCAACGGUGGUUCGAACCGAAGGAGUUCGUGCUCUUUGGAAAGGUUUAACGCCGUUCGCUACUCAUCUCACGCUUAAGUACACGCUUCGGAUGGGAUCCAACGCCAUGUUUCAAACCGCGUUUAAGGAUUCCGAGACCGGAAAAGUUAGCAAUCGUGGCCGUUUGCUUUCCGGAUUCGGCGCCGGCGUUCUUGAAGCUCUCGCCAUUGUUACACCCUUUGAGGUAAAGCUUUUGGUUUGUUGCCUUUUCGAUUACUUCACGAGACAAAAGCUCUGCCGAAAUAACAUUAAUAUUUUAUUAGAUUAGGAAUCGAAUUAAACUAUUGUGUAAUCAUUAGUUAGUUGGGUCAACGGUUUGGUGUAAUUGAAAUUGUUAGAUUAUUCUUGCACCAGAAGAAAAUCAUCUCUGUUCAACAAUAAAUUAGUAUAUUUUAGUCAGAGAAAUUAAAAUUAUUUGUUCAGAUCUGUUUUGAUGCUUUUGGUCCCAUUGUUCAUGACAAUUCUUGAUUUGGAGAAUCGUGUUCUUAAUAAUCAUUUUGUAGAAUCAUUUUGAGUCUUUGACUUGUUUCAUGUAGUUCUUGUUCUUAUGUGGUUAGAGAGAUAAGGUUUGAUUCUCUUCAGUAUGUUCAUGACAUGGAUUCAAGAGUUCUUGCAUAUCAAAUGAGUAUUUUCACUCAAAUAAAACACUGUUGAGUUCUGUUUUUUUGCUUUCUAUAAAUCUCUAGGUGGUGAAAAUUAGACUUCAGCAACAGAAAGGAUUAAGUCCUGAGCUCUUCAAGUACAAAGGACCAAUACAUUGUGCUAGAACCAUUGUGAGAGAAGAAAGCAUACUUGGGUUAUGGUCAGGUGCAGCACCAACGGUUAUGAGAAACGGCACCAACCAAGCUGUAAUGUUCACAGCGAAAAACGCAUUUGACAUACUUUUGUGGAACAAACAUGAAGGCGAUGGUAAAGUCUUGCAGCCAUGGCAGUCAAUGAUCUCAGGGUUUUUAGCUGGAACCGCAGGUCCGUUCUGCACCGGACCAUUUGAUGUGGUGAAGACGAGGCUGAUGGCUCAGAGCAGAGACAGUGAAGGUGGGAUUAGAUAUAAAGGGAUGGUUCAUGCCAUUAGAACAAUUUAUGCAGAGGAAGGAUUAGUGGCUUUAUGGAGAGGGUUAUUGCCGAGGCUAAUGAGGAUUCCACCGGGACAAGCCAUUAUGUGGGCUGUUGCUGAUCAAGUCACUGGUCUUUAUGAAAUGAGAUAUCUUCGGAAUGCUACUUUAUAGAGAGACACUUUUUCUUUUUAAAAAGCAGUGUUUCUAGUUGCUUUAUUUCUGAAAAUUCUUGGUAGGAUUUGGAUUAGAACAAGAAAAAUAAAAGUAAUCGCACAUUUGGUAACGAUUUUACUAUAAUCAAAUUUUGGGAGUUCCUUUUUUGUUGUUGUUUAAAUAAGUUUACUACAACAAAAGCAUCGCAAAUAACUGAUAUAUGUACUUUGCCAACAGUGUCAGGCAAAUUCAGUUUGGCACUCUUUAAAAAUUGCUACGUCCAUAUUAGUUUUGGGCUUGGGUCAUUAUUUAUGGGCUACGUUUGGAACAUAGAGGCCCACAUCUUUCAACCGCACUUGCCAAUUCCUUUAUAUAUAUAAAAUGCAAACGCAGCUUUAGAGCUAUAAGCAAAAAAACCCUAGUUAGCCGCCGCCAUCUUUACCAUCAUCAUCAUCGCAACCUCUCCUUUUUAUAGAUGCUUCUGUUUAGAGUUUGUCAACUAUCUUCCUCUUGUUAGCAAACAAACGUUUUCUUUUUAUUUUUUUUGUUUGGUCUUUUAAAAGCUCUUUUUGCAAUUUAAUUUGUUCCUAAUGAGGAUUACAUAUCAAAAGCUAUGGAUCUGUUUAUCAGUUCCAUAUGAUGCUAUAUUGUCAUAGUUACUCUGAUGGGAAAUUCUUUUUGUUUUUAUUUUAAUAUCAUCAAAUCAUAAUAGUUUUUUUGUUUUAAAUAAUAGAUAGGCAACUUUUUGCCGAGUGAAUCGAACAUCGAUAUCUCUCUUUUUCCCAGUUGCCUAAAUCCAUGUAAUUGGCUGCGUGAGGAAUUUUUUUGAUCUGUUAUUUAAUUCUCGAUAUAACCGAUCUUUUCCUCUUUGCUGCUACAUUUAUCUCUUUUUUUUUUGUAGUUUAUGAUUUAAGGGUUUGAAUUCGUAGGGAAGCCUCUUAAUCUAUGUUCUCAAUGUUUAGUUUGAUUAUGGAGGCGUGACAAUUAAUUCCAUAUCGAUUCUAGUAGCUUUGGUGAAGAUGUAGUAUAGUGAAUGAUCCUUUUAUGCCCUCACCGUGUUAAACAAUUUGAAGUAAUUUCUUUGAUAAGAGUGAUAAGAAUGUUUGAAAUUUGUAAUUUGCAUAAGUUUGAAGUUAUAUGCACUAGAAGUGCAUAACCUUGUUUCGUAGAAAUUCGUUAAGACAAACAAACAGUUCCCAUUACUCAUGUCAAUUCUAGUGAUUACAGAAUCACACAUUAAUACAAUCAAUAGCGCAGAUUUUAUACUGUUGUUAUUUGUAAAUGGGCUAUCUGCUAUAUUAUGUAGAAACCUUGAUAGUUGGUUGAUUCGUUUAUGCUCAAGGAUCUGCUUUAUACUGUUGACCGUAGAGAUAGUAAUGUUUGAAAUUUGUUGGUCUUCUAUCACCUAACCUUCAGGCCGAGUAAUUUGGGUCUCAUUUGGGCCGAGACUACAGAAUCAUGCUUAAUUUGGGUUUCAUUUGGGCCCAAAGCCCCAAAGUGUUCUCAAACGAGAUACAUUUUAACUGUUUCUUCACCCGCGUCACGGAUUAUCAUAAUUCUUGAAACGAGCCUCUGAACUACAUAUGCAAUCAAUAUAAAUCACUACAUUUCACCUUUUAAUGGACUAAAGAAUUCUCGGU